UGCCAGGCCCCCUCCAUUAGCAAGCCUGCGGACAAUGCUGUCCAACUGAUGUGGCAUCCACUGCGCUUGUGCACACGGUUAAGUUAAAGAGCUGUAAGGUCAACUGUAGCAUGUCGGCAUCAGCUGUGAAACCCUGGUAUGGGCACUAAGUGAAAGAGGAAAAAGCCUGAGCUGGUCAGUAUUUUGCAGCUUGCUUGAACUCUGGUAUUAAUAAAUUUAAAAGAAAUGCAUGGGAUCCCAAAUCACAGAGCAGGAGAUGUUUUUGUUUUGUUUUGUUUGUUUUUUUUUAGGGAUACAACCCACUGCAGUGCAUAUGAAUAUUGAAAGGAAAAGAAACGAGUGGGGAAAAAAAUACAUUCAUACUUUAAAGCCCCAGUAAUUUUGAAGUCCAGCCUAUGGUUAUAUUGUGAGAUUGAAAGCACAAAAGAAAUGGCAGUUCUGGUGUUUUUCCAAGGCUUUUCUUUGUAAAACAAACUCUUCAGACGUGGCAGGCAGUUCUGAUUUCAGUAGGAUUUGUGUGUGUGGCUGCUGCGUGCUUAAGGACCUUCAGUAAGCUGGAGUGAAGGAUAAGAUUGCAAAAGGACUGUUAAAAGGGGAAAAAAUUGAGCAGCUGUUUGGCAGUAAGGAAGCUUGGAGGCAAGAUUGAACUUAAAUAAUACCUUUGGUUUGGAAAUAAAUGUUUAAGCGAAUCA